UAGCUGUAGUUCAUUCUUCUAGGGAAG
rnacentral:piRNA from 1 species